AGCGAACGCUGGCGGCAGGCCUAACACAUGCAAGUCGAACGAACCUUUCGGGGUUAGUGGCGGACGGGUGAGUAACACGUGGGAACGUGCCUUUAGGCUCGGAAUAACUCAGGGAAACUUGUGCUAAUACCGAAUGUGCCCUUCGGGGGAAAGAUUAAUCGCCUUUAGAGCGGCCCGCGUCUGAUUAGCUAGUUGGUUGAGGUAAUGGCUCACCAAGGCGACGAUCAGUAGCUGGUCUGAGAGGAUGGUCAGCCACAUUGGGACUGAGACACGGCCCAAACUCCUACGGGAGGCGGCAGUGGGGAAUCUAGCGCAAUCGGCGAAAGCCUGACGCAGCCAUGCCGGGUGAAUGAUGAAGGUCUUAGGAUAGUAAAAUUCUUUCACCGGGGACGAUAAUGACGGUACCCGGAGAAGAAGCCCCGGCUAACUUCGUG
rnacentral:rRNA from 1 species